rnacentral:lncRNA from 1 species
GGUAGUCCUGUGCCCUCUGCUUCCACGCUGCUUUGUGAUCUCCCCGGGUGUCUCAGCCAGACCCCCAGGGCGUGGACGUUUACCCUUCCUGACCACUGUGGUGGGAAGGGAGCUUUCCCUCCUCACACUUCGGGCAGCAAUUACAGCCCGCACAAUUCAUUUGGCAAUUAAUCGUGGGCUGCCUUGGGACAAGGCGGCUGUUGCCAGCUCAAGCUGUUCCUAGGACUUAAUUAUGUCUGGUGCGUUCGUUGUUUGCCCGUGGUGCGUGGUGGGCUGGGCCCCUGCUGGUAUUUCUUUUCUCUCCAGAGACCCAAACAUCACGCUGAGCUUCUGGUAAGGUUUCAGCAAAGAGGUUUUGAGGAAAUGGAAGCUUUUGCUGUUAUGGAGAGAUGGAGAGGGUCUAAGAGAGGGCAGGGAGGAUGAAAAUGGUGCCUGGGUGAUACUUGUACGAAAUAACUUGAAGGGGACAGAAAUCCUGGGCUUGGCCUUGCAGUGGUACUUUCAUCAGAUGAUAACUGCCCCUUAACACUUACUUCGCUGCAGGCUCUGUGUCAAGCAGGUGAAGUGCAUCCCACCAUAGUCUCCUGAGGAAAAGAUUACUGUGGCCAUUUUAUGGAUGAGGGAAACUGAGGCUCAGGGAGAUUAAGUCCCUUGUUCAAAACCACACCACAGCCACAGCAACUUGGGAUCUGAGCCACAUCUGAGACCUAUACCACAGCUCAUGGCAACGCCAGAUCAUUUACCCACUGAGGGAGGCCAGAGAUUGAACCUGUGUCCUCAUGGAUGCUAGUCAGGUUCGUUACUGAUGUGCCAUAACGGGCACCCCUGUCGUCCUAUUUUAAUGAUGAGGAAGCAGGUGCUGGGUGGCUGGGCCUCUGGCAAAGGAUGGAUCAUCUGCCUCUCUUCCUGAGUUCCAAUUCUCUCUAGGCUGCGCUUGGCCCCAAUUCAUGAAUUCCACCAGUACUGAAAUUCUUGGGGGUGUUUUCCCAAUAAGGUGCAUCCUUACAGAUGGAGCCCUGGGUUGUGGUUCCCCACAUCCACUGCUCUGCCUCCAGGGCCACCAGGGCACCUGGUACAGAGCAGGUGCCCCGUACAUGGUGGUUGAGAACAUGGGAUUUGGCAAGGACUGCUCAGCUGGACAGACAUCCAGCCUGGAGCUCCUGAGAUACCUGGGGGCCUUCAGGUAUGACAUUGACGGAUUCUAAGAUAAUGUAGUCACAAGUUACUUGGAGAAGUAUUCAAGAGAUAUUGACUAAACCACACUGAUGGAGACAGCAGAGUAGUUUCUGUGAAAAAACCGUCACGUGAGUAUCUGUCAGAUGAAUCUAGCUGAAAUUAUCCUUUAAAAACAUUUGGUGGGGGGUAAUAUGGUGAUAUGUGUUUCUAAAACUUUGAUGCUGGUUUAAUUUCUUUUGGAAAGACAACCCUAAAGCAAAUGAUAUUUUGUGAUUCUUGUAUCCAUCUUAUAAAAAAUUAAAAUGUCAUUUAGCAUUUCCAAUUGUAAAUCCUGAGAUUUCAAUAUGGCAAAUGCGGGAGAUAGAGCUGGGUCAUCAGAGCCAAGGCAGCUGAAUGUUCCCUGUCAACCACUAACCAGUGUCAUAAAAAUUUCCUUCAUGCUGCUUCGAAACAGCACCGAAGACUCCCUUCAAAAGAAAUCGUUGGCGUUCCCUUUCCAGAGGUAGGGAGGAGACAGGAGAAGCAGGAGCCCAUUUAGAGAAAGCCAGGAACAUUGGAACACAUUUGUCAAAGUUUUCAUGUCUUCUAACCACCCCCUCCAUGUGCCUGGGGACAUCUGCCACUCACCUGGGCUUGCACAGUCACUCAGCUGUCCUGCCUGGCAUUCCAUUUAUGUUGAGGUGGCUUCUUGGUCUAUCUGUUCUUUUUCUACUAAAAUCCCCAGAUUUGGGCUUUUGAGAGAGUUGUGACCGUGAGCGUGGCCUUUGGAGCUGGACAGACCUGGACUCGAUAUAAUGCUUUAACUUAUUGUCUCAGUUUCUUGUCUGUGAGAUGAGCCCAAGAUCUGCUCUCUCGUGAGGCUUAAAUGAGAUUCUUAUUGCAAAACAGUCUGGUCAGGGCCUGCACAGGGUCAGCCUUUGGUGAGUGUGGCUGCCAUUUUGGGUUGCAGAAGCUUGUGCAUGUGGCUGCUCCUUUGUUCUUACACUGCUGUGGCAGUAGGUGUAUUUGCACCUGCAAGGGUUCAUCAUUGUGUGUGGGAAAUAGAGAGGGAUGGCUCUUGACUUAAGAGAAGCUAUACCCCUGACUACAUGGAGUCAUCCUUAGCAAUCAGGUAAGCUUGGAUUCCAGUGGCCAUGAGAAUUGGAAGGGAUCACAGAGGCCACUCACUCUAAGCUCCGUAUUUUAUAAAGGGGGAAACUAAGGCCCAGAGAUGGGUGCUGGCCUUGCAGAAGAUCGCAUUCUGGUUGGCAACAAAACCAGGACUGGAAGCCGAGACUCUGGGCCAAGUGGCCAUCAAACAUGGCACCUCUCUAAGUAAAGUCCUUUACAGUGCUUUUACAGCUGCCCUUGAAAAAUGAGGUCCAGUUACAGAGAGAGCAAAGUGCCUUUCUAAUUUACUUCGAGAAGAAGAGGAAAAUGAUGGGCUUUGUAAUUGCCGGAAUCGCACUUCUAACUCUAUUUACAGGAUGGAGGAUUGAUUGCAUCGGCUGAAAGUGUUGGCAUACUUGGCAAGCUUCCAUUUUGAGGCAAUUAAGCCUUGCUCCCUCCAGCUUUGCUGAGAACCUGGGUCAGGUCCCAGGAGACCUGGAUGUGGGUGGGAAGCCAGGACUGAACCAAUCCCAGCCUUAAAUCCUAAAGAAGUCCAUGGAAACAGGCAGGAACUUGGAGCCCACUGUCCAAGUGAGGCCAUUGGGGCCAUCAGGUCAUGCCUCUUCUUGGUACCUGGGCUAUUGGCCAAACCCUUGCAGUCCCUUGCAUGGUAUCAGAAUCCCCACAUGACAACUUGCUUGAAACUCUGUACCAGGACUACCCAGAGCCUGUGCGGCUUGUCCUUACCACCCAGGCUAGUCCUCUCAAUGGCUGUCUCCAUCCCAAUUGUACCUGAGUUUGCUCUGCCCUGUGCACUUGGGAGAUGUGAGCUGUGAGCCUCUCCAGGGAAGAACCCAGUGCUACCCUGGAGCUGGGCCUGUGGUCCCAGCCCUGUACAUCCUAGCCCAGCAUGGCUCACCCCCUCUGGCUGGAUGUUAACUAAGCAAUAGAGCACACAGGUGGGAGGGAUCAGACUUCGCCUAAAGCCAAAUGCCUGUGGAAAUUUAAUGGGUAAAGCCCAGAAAUCUAUGCUGCCCACUUGCAACUCACUUUUGAGUGAUGGUAAUGGAAAGAAAACACAUUUGGCCUUCCAUAGACAAAUAGCAAGUCUCCCAUACUCCACCAGGGCCCAGCCAUCUUACUGUUCAGAGACCAAUACCUGCAGUCACCUGCAGUCCCCUGAGUGGGCAUCUCCUGGAGGGGACUCAUUAGGGUUCUGAGCUGACCCCUGUGGCUUAUACCUUCCUUAAAUCCAAUUCACUUUAGUCUCUUGUUUAUCAGUGGUCUGGGCUCUUGUUUUAAGCUCCAAAAUGGCAAAUCACUUUUGUAGGCUAACUUGAAUCGGCUGGAAGUUGUUGCCUGAGUGCUGUGUUAAGAAGGAUUCUGAGGCCUAAUCUCAGCUCAAGGGGGAAAUGUUGUGAUGGAUCAACAGUAGCUGCCAGGGUACAAAACAAUACAGAUAGUGAUUAUCUGUGGUUUUGUCUGCCACUUUCUUCUGCAAAGGAUAUCCCUUCUCUUGGGUGUUUUCUGCUCCCUAAAUCCAUAUGGUUCUGGUGGGGCCAUAUGGAUUUAGGAAACAGGACCAAAUCCGCAUGGUUAAGAGUAUCUGGCCCCUGGUUUCAGUGAGGGUUUUGUGACCCAGCCAUAGCCAGUCAUAGUGCCCCACCCACCUAACCACAAUGACUUGUGCAGGGAAGAAGCAUGUGACCCAGGCCAGCCAAUCAGAGACCUUCCUUGGGAUUUGAUACAUGAAGCUGGGCCAGAGAAGGCAUCUUUUUCCUCUGGCAUCCCUAGCUGGGAGGAAGGAAGACUAGAGAUGUCUACAGCUCCACCCACCCCUUCCUCUACCCACUCCCCCCUCCUCUCCCUGCACACAGAUAGCCUAUUUGUAGUAGGAAGGAACAACCAACAACAGAGCUGAGACAUGCCAGAAAGCUUGACAUUAUUGUUUGAGACCCUAGAUUGUGUGGGACUUGAAGCCUGCGCUGCCCCUGUUCUGACCACCUUGUGAGCUCAGAAGCACAGUUGUGAAACUGGAAGUGGGCAGGAGAUGCAUAUCUGACACCUGCAACCAAAUACAUGCAGCAGCUACCUGUCAGCUCUCUCGUUGUCACUCAAAAUGCUCUCAGCCCAUGCACAGCUUUUGUCUUACUGGGAAUCCCCUCUACUUCCUCUCCUCACAGCCUCCAAAUUGCCUGGCUCUACUCCUUGAACUCCUAAAAUUAUUCCAAGGAAAGAAGGCACUUUUGGAGUUUCUGUUGUGGCUCAGCAGGUUAAGGACCCUAUGUUGUCUCUGUGAGGAUAUGGGUUCAAUCCCUGGCCUUGCUCAGUGGGUUAAGGAUCCAGCCUUGCUACAAGCUGUGGUGUAGGUCGUGGAUGCAGGUCGGAUCCAGUGUUGCUGUUGCUGUGGUUUAGGUCUCAGAUGCAGCUCCGAUUCAAGCCCUGGCCUGGAAUUUGCAUAUGCUGUAGGUGUGGCCCUAAAAAAAGAAAGAAAGAAAGAAAUGCUCUCACUAUGAAGGAGUGUGCAGCCAUGACAAUUCUGUUUACGGAGUAUUUCAUGCUAGGUAUGACAUCAAGACCACCAUGCAGAAUUUAGCCCCUCGUGGUGUCCAGAGUAUAGAUCCCCCAGCACUUUGGUGGUUUGUAUAAUCUUCACUGAUGCUUUGUGUUUUGGGGAGAGGCCACAUUGCAUAAGGCCUGGAAUUCCACCGACCAUGUCUCAAGAUACUCCCUGUUAUGGGCGGGGCGAGGAAGGUCGGGGCUUACCUUCUCUUGCUUUUUCCCACGUAGCACCCAGCCUCAGUGUACUCACGUUCCUCCCCUCUUGACUUCCUCAGGGAUGCUCAGAACCCUCCCCUCUGUUGUGAAGAGUAAUCUAGUUCUUCCCCAGCUCUUGCCUCCCAGUGCAUCCUGGGAGUCCACUCACCUGAGCCAUGCAGGGAAUCAGACCCUCCCUCUUUAUAAGGCCAUUGAGCCCUGGGUUUUGCCACUGAAGCAUGUUCCAGACCUUUCCCAUCUCCACCAAAAUUGACUUCCCAGACCUUAACUGUGCCUGAGUCCCCUGGAGGCACCCCCUAACUGUUCCCAUGCAGCAGAGCAGGAGUAGGGCCUAAGAUUCUGCAUGUCUAACAGAGUCCUGAGUGAUUUUCAGGGGAUGCUGAGGCCACUGGUCUGGGGACCACACUCUGAGAACCACUGGCUUGGAACAUUUCUUUUGUAUACAUGGAAUACUGGAAUUUUGGUGAACAGUGUUUUCUCCAUCUUGUCACUUAUUAUUAUAGCAUUACUCCUGGAGAUGGAAAAAGUUACAUAAGUAUGUUUAUGCCGGGGGCAUCUGCUUCCCAGUUUCUCCAGGGAAGCGGAGAAGGGGAUCCCAGACUGCCCAUCAGCUGGGUUUGCUUAACUCAAGAGAUCUAGAUCUUUCCAUGGCUUGGAAAGAUGAUGUCCAGCAACUAACCAGGGCAGCUUCCAUGGUGCCAGGAUGGGGAGCAGCGUCAGGAGCAGGGCUGGACUAGCAGCUUUUAAAGUCGGGUCCCAGAAGCCAGGUCAGGGAUCAGUCAACCCACUGGCAGCUGUACUUAAUUACCACUGUACUGAGGGCGUGUCAGAGAUGGCCAAGGGGACAAAUGGCCUCCCUGACCCUCUUCCCUCAGGCCCUUGCUCUCUGCUGGGGGUGGGGGAGCCAGGUCAAGUCAGCAUGUGAAAAUAUGAAGGUGGGGUUCCCAUCGUGGUUCGGUGGAAACGAAUCUUACUAGUAUCCAAGAGGAUGCAGGUUCUAUCCCUGGCCUUGCUCAGUGGUUAAGGAUCUGGCGUUGCCGUGUGCUGUGGGGUAGGUCGCAGACUCGGCUUGGAUCCUGAAUUGCUGUGGCUGUGGCGUAGGUUAGCAGAUGUAGCUCUAAUUCAACCCCUAGCCUGGGAACUGCCAUAUGCCGUGGAUACAGCC